UGAAUACGAGAUGCUACGGCGUCGAAGCAGUGUAUGUCAGACUUCCAAGAAAAGCUCGCAAUGUCAUAAACAAAGAAUGCCUGUACCAUAACCGACACAGGUGGGUAGGUAGAGUAUACUAAGGGGCGCGAGAUAACUCUCUCUAAGGAACUCGGCAAAAUAACUCCGUGACUUCGGGAGAAGGAGUGCCUUCUUUAAGAAGGUUGCAAUAACAAGAUCCAAGCAACUGUUUAUCAAAACACAGGUCUCCGCUAAGUCGUAAGACGAUGUAUGGGGGCUGACGCCUGCCCAGUGCCAGAAGGUUAAAGAAGCUGGUUAGCAAUAGCGAAGCUGGUGACUGAAGCCCUGGUGAACGGCGGCCGUAACCAUAACGGUCCUAAGGUAGCGAAAUUCCUUGUCGGGUAAGUUCCGACCCGCACGAAAGGCGUAAUGAUUUGGAUACUGUCUCGGAGAGGGACUCGGUGAAAUAGACUUGUCUGUGAAGAUGCGGACUACCUGCACCAGGACAGAAAGACCCUAUGAAGCUUUACUGUAACCUGAAAUUGAAAUUGGACUUUAUUUGCGCAGUAUAGGUGGGAGGCGUUGAAAGUAAUCUUGCGGGAUUAGUGGAGCCAUCAGUGAGAUACCACUCCUAUAAUGUUAGAUUUCUAACUUUGGAUCAUGAUCUGGUCAAAGAACAGUUUCAGGCGGGCAGUUUGACUGGGGCGGUCGCCUCCCAAAUGGUAACGGAGGCGUACAAAGGUUUCCUCUGAACGGGUAGAAAUCGUAUCUAGAGUGUAAAGGCAUAAGGAAGCUUGACUGUGAGACCUACAAGUCGAGCAGGGACGAAAGUCGGUCUUAGUGAUCUGACGGUGCUGAGUGGAAAGGCCGUCACUCAACGGAUAAAAGUUACUCUAAGGAUAACAGGCUGAUCUCCCCCAAGAGUUCACAUCGACGGGGAGGUUUGGCACCUCGAUGUCGGCUCGUCGCAUCCUGGGGCGGUAGUACGUCCCAAGGGUUGGGCUGUUCGCCCAUGAAAGCGGUACGCGAGCUGGGUUCAGAACGUCGUGAGACAGUUCGGUCCAUAUCCGGUGUAGGCGUUAGAAUAUUGAGAGGAGCCUUCUCUAGUACGAGAGGACCGAGAAGGACAUACCUCUGGUGUACCAGUUAUCGUGCCAACGGUAAACGCUGGGUAGCUAUGUAUGGAGAGGAUAACCGCUGAAAGCAUCUAAGUGGGAAGCCCACCUCAAGAUGAGUAUUCUCA
rnacentral:rRNA from 1 species